AUUGGUCAAUGGACGAGAGUCUGAACCAGCCAAGUAGCGUGCAGGAUGACGGCCCUAUGGGUUGUAAACUGCUUUUAUAAGGGAAUAAAGUGAGAGUCGUGAGACUUUUUGCAUGUACCUUAUGAAUAAGGACCGGCUAAUUCCGUGCCAGCAGCCGCGGUAAUACGGAAGGUCCGGGCGUUAUCCGGAUUUAUUGGGUUUAAAGGGAGCGUAGGCCGGAGAUUAAGCGUGUUGUGAAAUGUAGACGCUCAACGUCUGCACUGCAGCGCGAACUGGUUUCCUUGAGUACGCACAAAGUGGGCGGAAUUCGUGGUGUAGCGGUGAAAUGCUUAGAUAUCACGAAGAACUCCGAUUGCGAAGGCAGCUCACUGGAGCGCAACUGACGCUGAAGCUCGAAAGUGCGGGUAUCGAACAGGAUUAGAUACCCUGGUAGUCCGCACGGUAAACGAUGGAUGCCCGCUGUUGGUUUGAAUAGGUCAGCGGCCAAGCGAAAGCAUUAAGCAUCCCACCUGGGGAGUACGCCGGCAACGGUGCAACUCAAAGGAAUUGACGGA
rnacentral:rRNA from 1 species